GAGUUUGAUCGUGGCUCAGAGCGAACGCUGGCGGCAGGCCUAACACAUGCAAGUCGAACGAACUCUUCGGAGUUAGUGGCGGACGGGUGAGUAACACGUGGGAACGUGCCUUUUGGUUCGGAAUAACUCAGGGAAACUUGUGCUAAUACCGAAUGUGCCCUUCGGGGAAGAUUUAUCGCCAUUAGAGCGGCCCGCGUCUGAUUAGCUAGUUGGUGAGGUAAAGGCUCACCAAGGCGACGAUCAGUAGCUGGUCUGAGAGGAUGAUCAGCCACAUUGGGACUGAGACACGGCCAAACUCCUACGGGAGGCAGCAGUGGGGAAUCUUGCGCAAUGGGCGAAAGCCUGACGCAGCCAUGCCGCGUGAAUGAUGAAGGUCUUAGGAUUGUAAAAUUCUUUCACCGGGACGAUAAUGACGGUACCCGGAGAAGAAGCCCGGCUAACUUCGUGACAGCAGCCGCAGUAAC
rnacentral:rRNA from 1 species